rnacentral:lncRNA from 10 species
CUCCUACCCCAGGGUCCAGCCUUGACUGUGCAGGGCCCCGAUCAGGGUCAGCUUAUCUCUUCUGCAUCAAGAGGGGUCAACUGCAAGUCUGGGAUGGUGGCUGAGCUGAUCUUGGGACCCCAGGCCCUUCUAGAACGAAGUCUCAGCGUGGGAGCCAGGAGCAGACAGGGUCUCGACCUCAGAGAGCUUCCAGCCUGAUGGAGAGAGCCGGAAGAGUCAGGCUGGCUCUGUGGCUGCCCGUGGUCUUGGGGCAGGAGGGCUCCAACUAUGGGCCUGGAAAAAGGAGGGGCAGAGGCUUGAGGGACUGGUAGAGACUGGGGAGAGAAGAAAGAGGCAGGGUGUUCUAGGCAGGAAGAUCAGUAUGGGCAAAGUGGGAAGGCUGGACUGAGUAACGUACAUAUGUGUGCACGAGUCUGUGUAUACUAGCGAGAGCAUGCCCUAGGGGCCUUGGAGAAUAUAAAAUCCAACUUUUCAUUUUAUUGGUGAGGAAGCUGAGGCUAGAGAAGGGAAGGGACAUGUCUCUGGUCAGAGUGAGGUCCUGACUGACUCCAGCUCCAGUCCAGGUUCUGCCUCCAAUUCCUGGGUUCUAAAGACGGAGGUGUCAAGCUGAGCUGCCAAGUCCCUCCUUCUCCGGCUUUUUGCUGGUCCCACAGUGGUCUUGGUGAUGCAGAGCAGGGGCUUAACAGUGAUGUCUGCCUUCUGGCCAAUGGGAGGGUCUGGGGCUGGGCACUCUAUCCCUGUCCAGGAGUCCCAAACAAACCCGGAGUGGCUGCUUACACCUCGGCCUUAUCCACAAGGCAUGUCCCAAGCCCAGACUCUGGACACCCAGAGAAGAACCCAGCACUGAACACCAGGCCGAAUGGGCUCCAACACCCACGCUAGAGAAAGCCCCAACCACCUGACCCAGAGAGAACUUACAACUGGGCUCUGAACACAGAGAAAAGGUCCCAGCACCUGACCCAGACGCAUCUACACAGGCUGAGUUUCCAUUACAAACUCAGUACUGGAUCACUACAACGCCAUCCAGAAACUCCCGUAAAGAACCGAACAUCCAAAUGCGAGCACCCAGAGAGGGUCCCAGCACCCAAACCCUGAACACUAAGAGGAGAUCCCAACACCCGAACCGGGUCCAUUUGGAUCUGCUUCCAACCCAGACCCAGAACAUCCCGAUUAGAUGCCUACAAUUGACUCAGAUCUGGAGCCCACACCGGGAAUGGACUCACCCAGUCCUCCCUCCUCCCCAUCCAGCCUCGGUGAGGCUCAUCCUGAGAGGUCUUCCAAGUUCGAAGACUUUUUCUGCCGAUAUGUGUGACCAUCGAUCGGGAUGACUGCGACUGGGGAAGGGAGCAGGAGGCCAGGCCUGUUCCCUUUGGGGGAAAGGGGAGGGGAUCCAGUUUGCAGGGCUAGGGUGGGAGCGGGCAGGCGGGGUGUGCGCCCCGGCCGCUUCCAGUCGGCGCGGGAGCUGGGACGGAAGCUGUGCGCCCUCGGAGCCCCUGCAGUCCCC